UACGUAGGGGGCAAGCGUUGUCCGGAUUUAUUGGGCGUAAAGAGCGUGUAGGCGGCCAGGUAGGUCUGGUGUGAAAACUCGAGGCUCAACCUCGAGAGGUCAUCGGAAACCAUCUGGCUAGAGUCCGGAAGAGGAGAGUGGAAUUCCCGGUGUAGCGGUGAAAUGCGCAGAUAUCGGGAAGAACACCUAUGGCGAAGGCAGCUCGCUGGGACGUGACUGACGCUGAGACGCGAAAGCGUGGGGAGCAAACAGG
rnacentral:rRNA from 1 species